GCCAGGUGUAGUGGCCCAUGCCUGUAAUCCCAGCAGCUCAGGAGGCUGACACAGGAGGAUGGCGAGUUCAAAGCCAGCCUCAGCAACAAGUGAGGCACUGCAACUCAAUGAGAUCCUGUAUCUA
rnacentral:sRNA from 1 species